CCAAUUCCUGCCUUUCGUAAACAGGAAGAUGAGUGCCGGAAUCGUGGCAGCCGGGAUGUGUGCACAUGCCCGUAGAGACGCAUGGGUCAUCUGAAACAGUGGUAGAGGACGAUGCAAUGCUGGGGCCUUCCAGGGUCAUCUUGCCAGGAGGAGUUGUCAAUUGUGGACGGUCAGCGCAUCUUCGCUCUAUGCAAAACAUUGGCAAAUGGACAGCCAAGUCAGCCCAAAAGCAUGACGCGCACCAAAGCCUGCAGGUCCUUUUUCGCCCACAAACUUCCCUUUUAGACGAAGUGCUCCUGGGUUGCAGUGUGGCACGACAAAGGAUCCUGACUCACGUAUCGAACGCUCGCAAACUGGAACCGCAGAAGGCCCACCGUUUCAGCUUCGUUUGACCCCGCGUUCGCUGCUCCUGCGCACUUGAAAUCUACGGCACUUCUGUGAUGUAGUAGCCGCCACUAGAAGGGACCGUGUGACCCCAAACUUUGUUGCUUCGUUCUUUUGUGGAUUCCAUCGUUCUCUCUCUUGUCAAAUAUCAUGGUGGGAAAGGGCUGGGAAGCAGCAACCGUCUUACC
rnacentral:lncRNA from 1 species